UACGUAGGGGGCAAGCGUUGUCCGGAUUUAUUGGGCGUAAAGAGCUCGUAGGCGGCUCACUAAGUCGGAUGUGAAAAACUCCAGGCUCAACCUGGAGACGCCAUUCGAUACUGGUGUGGCUUGAGUUCGGUAGGGGAGCACGGAAUUCCUGGUGUAGCGGUGAAAUGCGCAGAUAUCAGGAGGAACACCGGUGGCGAAGGCGGUGCUCUGGGCCGAAACUGACGCUGAGGAGCGAAAGCGUGGGUAGCAAACAGG
rnacentral:rRNA from 1 species